UACCUACGGGGGGCAGCAGUCGGGAAUAUUGCGCAAUGGAGGAAACUCUGACGCAGUGACGCCGCGUAUAGGAAGAAGGUCUUCGGAUUGUAAACUAUUGUCGUUAGGGAAGAGAAAGGACAGUACCUAAGGAGGAAGCUCCGGCUAACUACGUGCCAGCAGCCGCGGUAAUACGGAGGGUGCAAGCGUUACUCGGAAUCACUGGGCGUAAAGAGUGCGCAGGCGGGCUUGUAAGUCAGAUGUGAAAUCCUGUAGCUUAACUACAGAACUGCAUUUGAAACUAUGAGUCUAUAG
rnacentral:rRNA from 1 species